rnacentral:rRNA from 1 species
GACGAACGCUGGCGGCGUGCUUAACACAUGCAAGUCGAACGGAGUGGCGAACGGGUGGGUAACACGGGGGUGACCUGCCCGGCAAUUCGGGCUAAGCCUGGGAAACUGGGUCUAAUACCGGAUAGUGUGGGAUGGGCCCGCGGCCAAUCAGCUUGUUGGUGGGGUAAUGGCCUACGAAGGCGGCGACGGGUAGCCGGCCUGUGAGGGUGGACGCCCACCAUGGGCCUGAGGCACGGCCCAGACGCCUACGGUAGGCAGCGGUGGUGAAUAUUGCACAAUGGGCGGAAGUCUGAUGCAGCGGCUCUGCGUGGGGAAUGACGGCCUUCUGGUUGUAAACUCCUUUCACCAUCGACGCGGUAGAUGGAGAAGAAGCACCGGCUAACUACGUGCCAGCAGCCGCGGUAAUUC